AAGACUAUACUUUCAGGGGUCAUUUCUAUAGUUAGUUACUAGAGAAGUUUUUCUGACUAUGUAGAGCACCUGAAACCACAAGGAGGAGGCACAGCGUUCUCUCCUGAGUGUGAAGCCGGCUCUUAGCGUUGCUUCCUGCAACUGCUACUGGCCAUUGAUGACCCUUCUUGAUUCUCACUGAGGAUUGAGAGGGAGAGGACACAGUCUGAGUGGU